AACGUAGGAGGCGAGCGUUAUCCGGAUUUACUGGGUGUAAAGCGCGUGCAGGCGGACGGGUAAGUUGGGUGUGAAAGCUCCUGGCUAAACUGGGAGAGGUCGCUCAAGACUGCCGGUCUGGAGCAUGGUAGGGGAAGGCGGAAUUCCGGGUGUAGUGGUGAAAUGCGUAGAUAUCCGGAGGAACACCAGUGGCGAAAGCGGCCUUCUAGACCAUGACUGACGCUCAGACGCGAAAGCUAGGGUAGCAAACGGGAUUAGAAACCCUAGUAGUCC
rnacentral:rRNA from 1 species